GUGCCAGCAGCCGCGGUAAUACGAGAGGCCCAAACGUUAUUCGGAUUUACUGGGCUUAAAGAGUUCGUAGGCGGCGCAGAAAGUAGGGUGUGAAAGCCCUCGGCUCAACCGAGGAAUUGCGCCCUAAACUACUGUGCUUGAGGGACCUAGAGGUGAGCAGAACUGAUGGUGGAGCGGUGAAAUGCGUUGAUAUCAUCAGGAAUACCGGAGGCGAAGGCGGCUCACUGGGGGUCUUCUGACGCUGAGGAACGAAAGCCAGGGGAGCGAACGGGAUUAGAUACCCCGGUAGUCC
rnacentral:rRNA from 1 species